rnacentral:rRNA from 1 species
UACGGGGGGGGCAAGCGUUGUUCGGAAUUACUGGGCGUAAAGGGCUCGUAGGUGGCCAACUAAGUCAGACGUGAAAUCCCUCGGCUUAACCGGGGAACUGCGUCUGAUACUGGAUGGCUUGAGUUUGGGAGAGGGACGCGGAAUUCCAGGUGUAGCGGUGAAAUGCGUAGAUAUCUGGAGGAACACCGGUGGCGAAGGCGGCAUUCUGGACCAAUAUUGACGCUGAGGAGCGAAAGCCAGGGGAGCAAAACGGGAAUUAGAGU